CGAUGGUACGCAUGCCUGAUGGGCUAUAGAAUUGUUAGAAGUGGAUGUCGAUAUAACUGCUGAUCCUAUUGAACUUAGUUCGUUGGCAUUUUGGUUACUAUGAUUUGUUCCCGCCUUGGCUAACACUGUCAGUGUGCUGCUUCCGUUGUUGACGUUGCUAUUGGUGGUCGUGGUGCUGGUGGUUAGGAUUCGGGCAUUUGCAGGCAAAGUUAUCUUAUUACACGCAUUGAUGCUUAUAAACGAGACGGGACGUAGUGUUGUGGCUCCUCCACUUCCUCCUGUGGUCACAUGCUGUAGCUGUUGUUGCUGCUGCUGCUGCUGAUUGUAGGUAUUGACGUCGGUUAUUAGCAACAUUGUCGGUGGUGGUUGUUGUGGCGGUUGUGGUGCCUGCUUUAACUCUGGCUUUGCCUCUUCACCGCUACCAUCAUCGGCAUUUGUAUCAUUAUCGAGAUCUUCAUCUUCGUCGUGCAAGGUGUCUAAGACGAGGGCAUCAUACAGUAUAGCUGCUCUCCCUGUGGCUUUGUUGCCAUCUUUAAGGGUCAACAAUUUGCGUAUAAUUGGUGUCGAAGCGUUUGAAUUUGAUUUUGGAUUGAAAUUAUUGGAAAAUUUAUUAGGCUUGAAAAAUAGAGGCGGCGGUGUAUUGUUUA